UACAGAGGUCUCAAGCGUUGUUCGGAUUCAUUGGGCGUAAAGGGCGCGUAGGCGGCGGGGUAAGUCGGGUGUGAAAUCUCAGAGCUCAACUCUGAAACUGCACUCGAUACUGCUCUGCUUGAGGACUGGAGAGGAGACUGGAAUUCACGGUGUAGCAGUGAAAUGCGUAGAUAUCGUGAGGAAGACCAGUGGCGAAGGGGGGUCUCUGGACAGUUCCUGACGCUGAGGCGCGAAGGCCAGGGGAGCAAACGGG
rnacentral:rRNA from 1 species